rnacentral:rRNA from 1 species
CUGCCCGAUAGUGGGGGAUAACCUGGGGAAACCCAGGCUAAUACCGCAUACGUCCUACGGGAGAAAGGGGGCUCCGGCUCCCGCUAUGGGAUGAGCCUAUGUCGGAUUAGCUAGUUGGUGAGGUAACGGCUCACCAAGGCCACGAUCCGUAGCUGGUCUGAGAGGAUGAUCAGCCACAUCGGGACUGAGACACGGCCCGAACUCCUACGGGAGGCAGCAGUGGGGAAUAUUGGACAAUGGGGGCAACCCUGAUCCAGCCAUGCCGCGUGUGUGAAGAAGGCCCUCGGGUUUGUAAAGCACUUUCAGCGAGGAAGAACGCCUAGCGGGUUAAUACCCGCUAGGAAAAGACAUCACUCGCAGAAAAAGCACCGGCUAACUCCGUGCCAGCAGCCGCGGUAAUAACGGAGGGUGCAAGCGUUAAUCGGAAUUACUGGGCGUAAAGCGCGCGUAGGUGGCUUUGAUAAGCCCGGUUGUGAAAGCCCCGGGCUCAACCUGGGGAACGGGCAUCCCGGAAACUGUCAAGCUAGAGUGCAGGGAGAGGGAAGGGUAGAAUUUCCCCGGGUGUAGCGGGUGAA